GAGUGGCCAAAUUCACUGCAGAGCUGGCACUUUCCAUUGUACCCGCGAGAUUGGCCAUUGGUGGAGUAACCACCGCGGCCGGAGGAUAGACCAAGGCUGCCACGGCCCGCGCCCGCGGCCACCGAAGCGGUUACGGCCGGACUGCUGUCCGACGACGAAGGCAGCCGACGGAGCCAAAUCAUAUGCGGCGGGGGUGGCCGGCGCACGGGCAGUAAUCUGAGCCUCCAUGCUUAGCAGCUUGUCUUGUAAUUCAGCAAAAGAGAUUGGAGAUUCACGGGCUUGGAUAGCAUGAGAGAGCUCCAUAUAC
rnacentral:lncRNA from 1 species